rnacentral:rRNA from 1 species
AACGAACGCUGGCGGCAUGCCUAACACAUGCAAGUCGAACGAGACCUUCGGGUCUAGUGGCGCACGGGUGCGUAACGCGUGGGAACCUGCCCUUAGGUUCGGAAUAACUCUCCGACAGGGGUGCUAAUACCGGAUAAUGUCUUCGAACCAAAGAUUUAUCGCCUUUGGAUGGGCCGGCGUUGGAUUAGCUAGUUGGUAGGGUAAAAGCCUACCAAGGCGACGAUCCAUAGCUGGUAUGAGAGGAUGAUCAGCCACACUGGGACUGAGACACGGCCCAGACUCCUACGGGAGGCAGCAGUGGGGAAUAUUGGACAAUGGGCGAAAGCAUGAUCCAGCAAUGCCGCGUGAGUGAUGAAGGCAUUAGGGUUGUAAAGCUCAUGUACCCAGGAUGAUAAUGACAGUACCGGGAGAAUAAGCCCCGGCUAACUCCGUG